rnacentral:rRNA from 1 species
UACGUAGGGUGCAAGCGUUGUCCGGAAUUAUUGGGCGUAAAGAGCUCGUAGGCGGCUUGUCGCGUCGAAUGUGAAAACCUGCAGCUCAACUGCAGGCUUGCAUUCGAUACGGGCAGGCUCGAGUUCGGUAGGGGAGACUGGAAUUCCUGGUGUAGCGGUGAAAUGCGCAGAUAUCAGGAGGAACACCUGCGGUGUAGACGGCUUACUGGACGGCAACUGACGCUGAGGCACGAAAGCGUGGGUAGCAAACAGG